rnacentral:rRNA from 1 species
UACGGAAGGAGCAGUGGGGAAUAUUGCACAAUGGGCGAAAGCCUGAUGCAGCUAUGCCGCGUGUAUGAAGAAGGCCUUAGGGUUGUAAAGUACUUUCAUCGGGGAGGAAAAACAAAACUAAUAAUUUUAUUUCUUGACGUUACCCGAAAAAGAAGCACCGGCUAACUCCGUGCCAGCAGCCGCGGUAAUACGGAGGGUGCUAGCGUUAAUCAGAAUUACUGGGCGUAAAGAGCACGUAGGUGGUUUUUUUAAGUCAGAUGUGAAAUCCCUGGGCUUAACCUAGGAACUGCAUUUUGAAACUGAAAUACUAGAGUAUCGUAGAGGGAGGUAGAAUUCUAGGUGUAGCGGUGAAAUGCGUAGAUAUCUGGAGGAAUACCUGUGGCGAAAGCGGCCUCCUAAACGAAUACUGACACUGAGGUGCGAAAGCGUGGGGAGCAAACAGGGAUUAGAUACC